rnacentral:tRNA from 1 species
GGAGAAUUACCCAAGAGGCUGAAGGGGCGGGCUUGGAAAGCUCGUAGACGGUAACUCGUGCGAGGGUUCAAAUCCCUCAUUCUCCGCCA